rnacentral:rRNA from 1 species
UUACACAUGCAAGUCGAACGGCAGCACGGGAGCAAUCCUGGUGGCGAGUGGCGAACGGGUGAGUAAUACAUCGGAACGUGCCCUGUCGUGGGGGAUAACUAGUCGAAAGAUUAGCUAAUACCGCAUACGACCUGAGGGUGAAAGCGGGGGACCGCAAGGCCUCGCGCGAUAGGAGCGGCCGAUGUCUGAUUAGCUAGUUGGCGGGGUAAAAGCCCACCAAGGCAUCGAUCAGUAGCUGGUCUGAGAGGACGACCAGCCACACUGGAACUGAGACACGGUCCAGACUCCUACGGGAGGCAGCAGUGGGGAAUUUUGGACAAUGGGCGCAAGCCUGAUCCAGCAAUGCCGCGUGAGUGAAGAAGGCCUUCGGGUUGUAAAGCUCUUUUGUCAGGGAAGAAACGGUGUUUUCUAAUACAGAAUGCUAAUGACGGUACCUGAAGAAUAAGCACCGGCUAACUACGUGCCAGCCGCCG